UCGGAUAUGGUGUAAAGGCAACAUUGCCGCCUCCCAUUAAAGCGUUCAAUAAUCGCGGCGGCCGCUCAGGGUUCGAUUCCCUGUAUUCGAA